GUGCGCAUGAAUAAUAAUGGAAGAGGAAUCUGCUCGACCAAUUGAUUCAAAACUUUUGCAAUGAUUUGCUGGGUGAAAGUUUGACGCUGCUCAAAGCAAGCAUUGCAUGCAUCUGUGACCUUCUUGAGAGGAAUUCCAUCUCUGUCGGGAUCAAUUCCAUGAAUAGCAAUUAGAACUUCAGCUGGAUUUAGAACUGGCCCAGAA
rnacentral:misc_RNA from 1 species